CCCUUAGAUGUUCUGGGCGGCCCGCGCACUACAAUGGCGUGUGCAGCGAGUGCCGAAGUAGAGUUUUCCGAGGUAUUCUUGCAAUGCUCGUUUUGAUGGGGAUAGACCCUUGCAACUGUUGGUUUUGAACGAGGAAUUCCUUGUAAGCAUGGUUUAUCAUCCGACGCUGAAUUCGUCCCUGCCCUUUGUACACACCGCCCGUCGCUCCUACCGAUGAGUCGUCCGGUGAAGUUCGUAGACCUCGUGAUCGCGGAUCACUGGGGGAAGCAAAAUGAACCUCGCGGUUUAGAGGAAGGAGAAGUCGUAACA
rnacentral:rRNA from 1 species